rnacentral:rRNA from 1 species
GACGAACGCUGGCGGCGUGCUUAACACAUGCAAGUCGAACGGAAAGGCCCUGCUUUUGUUGGGUGCUCGAGUGGCGAACGGGUGAGUAACACGUGAGUAUCCUGCCCUUGACUUUGGGAUAACUUCAGGAAACUGGGGCUCAUACCGGAUAUGAUCUCCUGCUGCAUGUUGUGGGUUAGAAAGUUUCGGCGGUUGUGGAUGGACUCGCGGCUUAUCAGCUUGUUGGUGGGGUAGUGGCUUACCAAGGCUUUGACGGGUAGCCGGCCUGAGAGGGUGACCGGCGACAUUGGGACUGAGAUACGGACCAGACGCCUACGGGAGGCAGCGGGGGGGAAUAUUGCAGAAUGGGCGGAAGCCUGAUGCAGCAACGCCGCGUGCGGGAUGACGGCCUUCGGGUUGUAAACCGCUUUCGCCUGUGACGAAGCGUGAGUGACGGUAAUGGGUAAAGAAGCACCGGCUAACUACGUG